AGCGUUACUNGGAAUCACUGGGCGUAAAGGACGCGUAGGCGGAUUAUCAAGUNUCUUGUGAAAUCUAACGGCUUAACCGUUAAACUGCUUGGGAAACUGAUAAUCUAGAGUAAGGGAGAGGCAGAUGGAAUUCUUGGUGUAGGGGUAAAAUCCGUAGAGAUCAAGAAGAAUACCCAUUGCGAAAGCGNUCUGCUGGAACUUAACUGACGCUAAUGCGUGAAAGCGUGGGGAGCAANCAGGAUUAGAUACCCUGGUAGUCCACGCCCUAAACGAUGUAUACUAGUUGUUGCUUCGCUAGUCGAGGCAGUAAUGCACCUAACGGAUUAAGUAUACCGCCUGGGGAGUACGGUCGCAAGAUUAAAACUCAAAGGAAUAGACGGGGACCCGCACAAGCGGUGGAGCAUGUGGUUUAAUUCGAAGAUACGCGAAGAACCUUACCCGGACUUGAUAUCUAACAAAUCAUCCAGAGAUGGAAGAGUGUCUGCUUGCAGAAAUGUUAAGACAGGUGCUGCACGGCUGUCGUCAGCUCGUGUCGUGAGAUGUUGGGUUAAGUCCCGCAACGAGCGCAACCCACGUCAUUAGUUGCUAACGGUUCGGCCGAGCACUCUAAUGAGACUGCCUUCGCAAGGAGGAGGAAGGUGUGGACGACGUCAAGUCAUCAUGGCCCUUAUGUCCGGGGCGACACACGUGCUACAAUGGCGUAUACAAUGAGACGCAAUAUCGCGAGAUGGAGCAAAUCUAUAAAAUACGUCCCAGUUCGGAUUGGAGUCUGCAACUCGACUCCAUGAAGCCGGAAUCGCUAGUAAUCGUAGAUCAGCCAUGCUACGGUGAAUACGUUCCCGGGUCUUG
rnacentral:rRNA from 1 species